rnacentral:rRNA from 1 species
UACGUAGGGAGCAAGCGUUGUCCGGAAUCAUUGGGCGUAAAGCGCGCGUAGGUGGCUUCGUAAGUCCGUUGUGAAAGUCAAAGGCUCAACCUUUGAAAGCCGAUGGAUACUGCCGGGCUAGAGUCCGGAAGAGGCGAGUGGAAUUCCUGGUGUAGCGGUGGAAUGCGCAGAUAUCAGGAGGAACACCGAUAGCGAAGGCAGCUCGCUGGGACGGUACUGACGCUGAGGCGCGAAAGCGUGGGGAGCGAACAGG